CGUAAGCCUGACGGAGCAAGACCGCGUGCGGGAUGACGGCCUAAUGGUUGUAAACCGCUUUUCUCUGGGAAGAUGAUGACGGUACCAGAGGAAUCAGCCUCGGCUAACUCCGUGCCAGCAGCCGCGGUAAUACGGAGGAGGCAAGCGUUAUCCGGAAUUAUUGGGCGUAAAGCGUCCGUAGGUGGUUAUUCAAGUCUGCUGUCAAAGCGUGGGGCUUAACUCCAUAGAGGCAGUGGAAACUGGAUGACUUGAGUGCGGUAGGGGUCGAGGGAAUUCCCAGUGUAGCGGUGAAAUGCGUAGAUAUUGGGAAGAACACCGGUGGCGAAAGCGCUCUACUGGGUCGCACCUGACCCUCAGGGACGAAAGCUAAGGUAGCG
rnacentral:rRNA from 1 species